UACGUAGGGGGCGAGCGUUGUCCGGAUUUACUGGGCGUAAAGCGCGUGUAGGCGGCCCGUUAAGUGUGGUGUGAAAGCCCCGGGCUCAACCUGGGAAUUGCUUUCGAUACUGGGUAGCUAGAGUAUGAGAGAGGGAGGUAGAAUUCCACGUGUAGCGGUGAAAUGCGUAGAUAUGUGGAGGAAUACCGGUGGCGAAGGCGGCCUCCUGGCUUAAUACUGACGCUGAGGUGCGAAAGCGUGGGGAGCAAACAGG
rnacentral:rRNA from 1 species